rnacentral:rRNA from 1 species
GACGAACGCUGGCGGCGUGCCUAACACAUGCAAGUCGAACGGAAAGGCCCCUUUGGGGGUACUCGAGUGGCGAACGGGUGAGUAACACGUGAGUAACCUGCCCUUGACUUCGGGAUAACUUCAGGAAACUGGGGCCAAUACCGGAUAGGAAUCCUUGCUGCAUGGUGGGGGUUGGAAAGCUUAGGGGGUUUUGGAUGAACUCGCGGCUUAUCAGCUUGUUGGUGGGGUAGUGGCUUACCAAGGCGUUGACGGGUAGCCGGCCUGUGGGGGCGACCGGCCACCUUGACUCCUAGGUGCGGCCCAGGCUCCGACGGGUGGCAGCAGGGGGGAAUAUUGCACAAUGGGCGCCGGCCUGGUGCAGCAGCGCCGCGUGCGGGAUGACGGCCUUCGUGUUGUAAACCGCUUUCAGCAGGAGCGAAGCUUGUGGUGACGGUACCUGCAGAAGAAGCACCGGCUAACUACGUG